UGCAAGUCGAACGGUAGCGCGGAGAGCUUGCUCUCUGGCGACGAGUGGCGGACGGGUGAGUAAUAUGUAGGAAUCUGCCUAGAAGAGUGGGAUAACCUGGGGAAACUCAGGCUAAUACCGCAUAAGCCCUACGGGGGAAAGCAGGGGAUCUUCGGACCUUGCGCUUUUAGAUGAGCCUACAUCGGAUUAGCUUGUUGGUGGGGUAAAGGCCUACCAAGGCGACGAUCCGUAGCUGGUCUGAGAGGAUGAUCAGCCACACUGGGACUGAGACACGGCCCAGACUCCUACGGGAGGCAGCAGUGGGGAAUAUUGGACAAUGGGCGAAAGCCUGAUCCAGCAAUGCCGCGUGUGUGAAGAAGGCCUGAGGGUUGUAAAGCACUUUCAGCGGGGAGGAAGGUAUAAAUGUUAAUACCGUUUAUGCUUGACGUUACCUGCAGAAGAAGCACCGGCUAACUCUGUGCCAGCAGCCGCGGUAAUACAGAGGGUGCAAGCGUUAAUCGGAAUUACUGGGCGUAAAGGGUGUGUAGGUGGCUAGGUAAGUUAGAUGUGAAAGCCCCGGGCUCAACCUGGGAACUGCGUUUAAUACUGCUUAGCUAGAGUAUUGUAGAGGGUGGCGGAAUUUCCGGUGUAGCGGUGAAAUGCGUAGAUAUCGGAAGGAACACCAGUGGCGAAGGCGGCCACCUGGACAAAUACUGACA
rnacentral:rRNA from 1 species